rnacentral:rRNA from 1 species
UACGUAGGGGGCAAGCGUUGUCCGGAAUCAUUGGGCGUAAAGAGCGUGUAGGCGGCCAGAUAAGUCCGCUGUGAAAACUCGAGGCUCAACUUCGAGCUGUCGGCGGAAACUAUCUGGCUAGAGUCCGGAAGAGGAGAGUGGAAUUCCUGGUGUAGCGGUGAAAUGCGCAGAUAUCAGGAAGAACACCCGUGGCGAAGGCGGCACUCUGGGCCAGUACUGACACUGAGGAGCGAAAGCGUGGGGAGCAAACAGG